AUAAAUUUCCUGCUUCAGGUGAUGCUCGUUUCUGCCAAGUUAUUUCGAUCUUAUCCCUUUAGCCAAUAUCAAGGUUGCGAAGGAUGCAAAUGAAGUCCACUCAUCCCCGAUUUCCUCUCCUGCGGAUAAUUCGCUAACGGUUAGCCAGUAUGGGAUUUAUUACGUCCAUAAUUCUUUUUACUUUACAUCUCUCUCUCGUAUCGGAUUCAUUAUGCAAAGCCUUUGUGACUAUUGCCGCAGCUACCACGGUUAUUUAAGGUCCCUUUGUUUCCAUUAUCGAUUCAAAUAUAUCGCUUAUGCUACUUUUUCAUGCUCCGAGACAAAAACUUGUUCCGGAAUAAUAAAUUUCGCUCUCCUCUUCUAUCUCGCUUGCUGCUCUCUCUUUCUCUCUCUCUCUCUCUUUCUCGUUUGCUCUUUUUAUUUGAAUUUUGUUAAAUUAAUUUGAAUGCGGCGAGAGGAAUGCGGUGUGGACAUAAUAAUUGGCACACGACCAAUAACGGGGGAAUUAAUAUUUAUUCGUUAAAUAAUACUCACGUUGCGUUUUUCGCCGCAUGACGUGCGCAACCUUGCGGUACAAGUUUAAUUAAUAAUUAAUAAUAUUCUUUCUCGAUAUUAUUAGUAAUUACAUAUUCAGAUAUUGAACGACAGUACUUUCAUCCCAGUUUGCGCGCGUCUCUCUUAUUCAUUAUUUCGUUGAAUCAAUGCAUGCGUUAUACUUUAUUAUUCUAUGGAACAGAUAUUGUCAUAUGCAAUUCAUCGAGUAUGCCGUUUACAAAAUUACUGAUGUAGUAAUCGAGUGGUUAAAAAUUUAACAACUAAUAACACAAGAGAAGGAACGAGUGCUCCUGUUAUAAAAAUAUUUAUCUUUAAUAUUUUUAUAAAUUGAAAGAACAAUGGUAUCAAAUAAAAUAAUAUCCUCAAACCAAGAAUCACAUUGUAUUUUUUCAGACGACUAUUAUAAUAUUAAAAUAAAAAUAUGAUAAAAUUUUGUUGAAAUGUGUAGUAAUAACAUCAAGUUCUUUGAAGAAAAUUAAAUUAUAAAUAAGAAGAUUAUUAUUAUCUCAUACAUAAGCAAGAAUAUAAUUUAUCGCUUACAAACGAAACAAUGACAUUAUCGAAAUAUAAUGUAUAUUAGUUUUAACUCGACACCGAUGUUUUUUCUGUGAUAAUAUUAUAUCGUCCGCGGUGCGCGCGACUUUUCGUCGAGCGGAGCCAUCGCGUCCAGGCGACGUGAGCUCUAAAAGAUGUGAUAAAUGAUUCCUCCCUUCCCUUCGUUUUCCUCCGUAGCCUCCCCCUUUCUUUUAUUGUGUCUACUUUCACGCAACCUGUCUCAUUCAUCCCCCAGUUUCCCCCGACGACGACGCAUUGUCGGAUUAAAUGCCAAGCGCGUUUAAAAGAUAGACGGCCGGCCGGCCGGUCGAUGUGUCUAUGUGUGUGUGUGUGUGUGUGUGUGCGUGUGUGUGUGUGUGUUUACGCGUGAGCGCGGGUAUGCGUGCGCGCGGGCGUGUGUGUGUUACGCGCCGGAAAGAAGAGGAACACCCACGUCGAUCCGAUAUCGACGUCUCGGACGGAGAUCGAGGGAAAAAAUGCGCCGCGCUCCGGAGCGUUUCCUCGCCUACGAUCGCUCGGUGGAGAAUCGUCAUCUUCGGCGAGGAACCCGGCCAUGCUCGAUAUGAUUCCCUCCCGUAAUUCGGCCGUUUCACCAAACACUCCCCUCGUCCCUCUCACUCUCUUUCUCUCUCUCUCUCUCUCUCGCGCGCGUCGUACGUCGCGCAUCGUCUCGUGCCCGGCUCGUCCCGUCUCCCCCCCUCCUCCCUGCCGAUCCCCCUUGUCCCACUCCGUUCCGCCGCAUACUUCAAGCAGGUAACGUGCCAACGCAAUGGCGCCUCACUGGCUGCACCUGGGAUAACCGUUCGCCAGGUUAGGCCUCGGCGGGGAUUGGCCGGUCGGCGUAAAGCCGAGCGCGGAUUGGCCGGCGGCUCGGCUCCGCCGGCACGUAGGUUUAAUCUCGUUUACCGUAGGCGCGCUGGCGUUCAGUUUAAGUUACCUCGGCCGGUCGGUCGGUUGGUCGGUCGGUCGGUCGCUCGGUCUCGCGGUCGCCUGUCCGUCCGCUCGCAAGUCGCAACUUGAAACCGGACCUCGUCGGCUCUGUGCGUAACGUCGUCGUGGCUCCCCAAAUUGUCGUCCCCGUCACCGUCGCCGCCGUCGCAGUUCGUAAGUUUGUGCGUGGAGGAGCGUGUGCGCGCGCGCGACAAUCCUCCUGACUCGCGAGAAACACCGGCCGCGAAGAGACGAUCGUGCGCGAACGCGAACGCGAGAGAACGCGUCGGGCCAGCGGUGACACGGUCGCGUGCGCUCGCGCUCGCGCGCGCGCGUUUGCGUAUAGACGCGAGUGCGGGCGAACGCAUAGCGAAACGACAAUCGUGCGUGCGUGCGUGCGUACGUGCGUGUCUGUGCAUCGCGAGUGAGUGUGCGUGCGCAACGCUCGCGGGCAUCGCGCGCGUGUAACACACACAUACGUAGUGCAGGGGAAAGAAAGGAGGAUCGGGCGCCGAUCGAUCAGCGCCGCGCGAAUCUCUCGGCUUGCUCGGAUCGUCGAUCGAGUGACCGCGGGGUGCGGAAGUGCGCGCCGAGAAUCCCAAGUACGACGGAGUCGUGGAAAUUGACGGGAAUUUCCGUUGGCGAAUCGCGUGCCUGUGGUGGUGCUGGUGCUGCUGCUGCUGGCUGCUGCUGUUUGCCGUUGGUGGUGGUGGUGGUGCUGGUAGUAGUAGUGUGUGUACGGUGCGAGAGGUUAGGAUCGUGCCGCUGCUAGGCGGAGAAAGAGCGCGGCCUUCCCUAACCGGGGAAAGGAGAGCGGAAAGGAUCGGCGUUGCGGUGCGCGCGACCGAGGAAAA